rnacentral:rRNA from 1 species
GAUGAACGCUGGCGGCGUGCCUAAUACAUGCAAGUCGAGCGAACGGACGAGAAGCUUGCUUCUCUGAUGUUAGCGGCGGACGGGUGAGUAACACGUGGAUAACCUACCUAUAAGACUGGGAUAACUUCGGGAAACCGGAGCUAAUACCGGAUAAUAUUUUGAACCGCAUGGUUCAAAAGUGAAAGACGGUCUUGCUGUCACUUAUAGAUGGAUCCGCGCUGCAUUAGCUAGUUGGUAAGGUAACGGCUUACCAAGGCAACGAUGCAUAGCCGACCUGAGAGGGUGAUCGGCCACACUGGAACUGGAACACGGUCCAGACUCCUACGGGAGGCAGCAGUAGGGAAUCUUCCGCAAUGGUCGAAAGCCUGACGGAGCAACGCCGCGCGAGUGAUGAAGGUCUUCGGAUCGUAAAACUCUGUUAUUAGGGAAGAACAUAUGUGUAAGUAACUGUGCACAUCUUGACGGUACCUAAUCAGAAAGCCACGGCUAACUACGUG